UACAGAGGGUGCGAGCGUUAAUCGGAGUUACUGGGCGUAAAGGGCGCGUAGGCGGGUGUAUAAGUGAGGUGUGAAAUCCCUGGGCUCAACCUAGGAACGGCACCUUAAACUGUAUGUCUAGAGUACUGUAGAGGGCAGUGGAAUUUCCGGUGUAGCGGUGAAAUGCGUAGAGAUCGGAAGGAACACCAGUGGCGAAGGCGGCUGCCUGGACAGAUACUGACGCUGAGGCGCGAGAGCGUGGGGAGCAAACAGGAUUAGAUACCCUGGUAGUCCACGCUGUAAACGAUGAGGACUAGAUGUUGGUAGGCGUGACCUAUUAGUAUCGAAGCUAACGCGAUAAGUCCUCCGCCUGGGGAGUACGGUCGCAAGAUUAAA
rnacentral:rRNA from 1 species